rnacentral:snRNA from 1 species
GUACUCACUUUAGCAGCACGUAUACAAACAUUGGAACAAUACAGAGAAAAUUAACAUGGUCCCUGUGUAAGAAGGA